ACUGUAGACCACUGGUGAUUUGUCGAAGAUUCGGUACCAUUCGAUUAAGAAUUCUACGAGUUAAUGAGCUUAACUUGAAGACAGUCUGUAAACAAUUUGAAGACGAAAUAUAAGAUUGACUGUAGACCACUGGUGAUUUGUCGAAGAUUCGGUACCAUUCGAUUAAGAAUUCUACGAGUUAAUGAGCUUAACUUGAAGACAGUCUGUAAACAAUUUGAAGACGAAAUAUAAGAUUGACUGUAGACCACUGGUGAUUUGUCGAAGAUUCGGUACCAUUCGAUUAAGAAUUCUACGAGUUAAUGAGCUUAACUUGAAGACAGUCUGUAAACAAUUUGAAGACGAAAUAUAAGUUUCACAGCUCCACGCAUUCUUUAAUGGCAGGCAUUUUAAAUAACUGGAAAUGGC